GACAGAGGCCACAAGCGUUAGGCGGAAUCACUGGGCUUAAAGCGUGUGUAGGCGGGCCGUUAAGUGCUUUGUGAAAUCCCAUGGCUCAACCAUGGAAUUGCUUGGCAUACUGGCGGUCUUGAGCCACCUAGGGGCAACUGGAACAAACGGUGGAGCGGUGAAAUGCGUAGAUAUCGUUUGGAACGCCAAAGGUGAAAACAGGUUGCUGGGGGUGUGCUGACGCUGAGACACGAAAGCCAGGGGAGCAAACGGG
rnacentral:rRNA from 1 species